AAAUGUUGCUCACAUUGGAGCAAACAGCCUGUGUACACAGACAGUAAGAGAGGCUGCAUAUUGUUUAUUCUUCCUCUUGACUGGCUGACUGAGUCAUUAUGAAAGUGGAACACGUGUCGUUUUCCCGCGUUUUUUUUUUUUGUGUGUGUGAUACAACAGCAUCUACCAUCUUUGACCACGUUCCAUGACAGCUGUACCCGCGCGAAUAUGGACUGUGACUACAUGUAGCCUACCUGGCGGAGAUCCGGGUCCCAAUUACCUGGUGGAGCAAAACAUGCGAGGAUAGCCACAGUUUUCCAGGCAUUCUGGACCACCCUGAGACGGUGCAUCAGUGGGGUCCCUCAUCAUGAUGCAGAUGAGACAUUGCCACUCUCUGUUGAAGAGACUGACCUAUUUCAUGGAAGCUCAGUACGGCCCUUCGUGGAUGCAGAAGCUACAACUACAAGUGCCUUCUUGCAGCCAGAUAACUUUCCAGUUCCCACUCUUUUCCAUUGAGAACAUUUCAUCUCUCCGUUGAAGAGACUGAGCGUUAUCAUGAAAGCUCAGUAGAACACUUCAGAGUGGCUACAACUGGAAGUGCCUUCUCCCAUCUUUAUAACUGAGAUCCCACUCAUUUCCAUGUGUCAAAUUAAGUGGAAACUGUAUCACAUUACUGGCUGUAUGAGAGCCACUAUGAUGAUAUUUUCCAGUAGCGGUGCUGGGAAUGAGCCCUAUGAGCUGUGCGGCUCAGCUGAGCCUGUGGACCUUUAUUCCAACUGCGUUGCUAAAGGGCAUUCCCUGCCAAGCCUUACUGGACACAGGAUCCAUCAUCUCUAGUUCACCCAGGAACACUGCCAUGGACUGAAGAACCAAGACUGUCAGGCUAGGAAGCCACCAAGCUGAGCACAGCAUUAGUUCAGGAAGGCCAAAGUCAUGCCCAACUUCUGCCAGUAACUUGGCUGACUGCUCAGCUGAUCAUCACUAGCUGUUACAUUGGUGGAGAUCAUUCAGGGUGCCUUAUUUAAGCUGCCUUAGUUUGGCUACUCUUGCUGCUUUCUCUGUAAAGCUUUUUGUAACCUUCCCAUACACGGGGUUCCCAUGGGUCAUGGAAUUUCUGGAAUAUCAUGGAAGUCUAUUCCAGACAUGGAUUGUAUUAUGUUUGGGGCAAAGUCAUGGUUGUUUUGUUGUAGCAGUUUAAAAACAGA